CCUUGAGAUCGAGUAAGCCUCAGGAGCAGUAUGAAGGCAGGCAAGCCCUGGGACUCUACUGGGGAUCACAGAGACCCCAAAUCUCCCAAAGUAAGGUGCUAGGAGCCUAAACACACACACCAGCAGCUGAGGCUAGCAGUGUGUGUCUGACUCUCCUCUGCCACUCGCACAGCUAACCUGUCACAUCAGUCCUCUGCCAAGCCACGGAGAUCAUUCAGCUCAGAGAAGGACCCAGUGAGCCACUGCAAGUCAGGGGCACAUGCGGGCAGGAACACCCCAUGAGGCAGAAGAUUGUAAAUGGUAUGUGUUAAAGGACAUGUCUUCCCUUUGCAAGUAUCAGAGCACAGCCUAGGCAUUAGCCACCCAUUUGUUUUGGUUUCUUUGGUAUUAAUAUCCGGGAAAAAGACUCAGAAUCAACAUUCCUCUCAUCGUCUAUUUAAGUGGACUUCUCAGGAAAGCUGAAGAAACAAGGAACAACUCAAAGCUGCCAGCUGCACACACCAUAAGGCAAAUGGCUCCACUGAGAAAUGGCAUAUUAACUCUGUCCUGAUGCUGCACACCCUUAAUUGAGUAUUGGAAAUAGGUCUCUUGUUCUAGCUAAUGUUGUUCGUGGAUUAAUAACACUCUUG